rnacentral:misc_RNA from 1 species
GGCCACCCUUCAACUCAGGAUUCUACCUGAUUAGAAAUUACAUUGCAAGUUAGCUCGUCCCAAUCAAGUACAGAAAAUUGAUUACAUAUGAACAUUACUACUCCACAAAUCUAUUUCUUACUCUUUCUAGAUGAAGUUCAACAAACAAUGCAAAAGGAAACCCUCAAAUCAACUAAGUUAGGAUAACUAUAAAUUUUAUCCUUACAAAGAAAUCGAGGCUAGAUUCCCUUCUCAAAGGAUACGUCUAUCUUGAAGAAAGCCGUUGGUGCAAAUCAUCAGCCAAUGCCUGCCUCAAGCUAUCCCCAAAAUAAUGAAAUGACUUCUCGUUCUCAAGCACCCUUGUAGGAGACCCGUUCUCAUCCGGUUCCUUCCAAAUCUCUGGCUCAGGCUCCCUUGCAACCUGACACAAAUUAUGCAACACACAACAUGCAACAAUUGUCUGUGGGGCAUGAUUAAGACCCACGUUCAAAUCCUGCAAGAUCUCCCCCCUCCCCUUCAACAAACCAAUAGCCUCCACCACCACAGACCUCCCCUUCAUCAACAUCCCAUCAAACAAGUUCUGAGCUGGGGUCCCUGAACCAUUUGGAGAGAAGGGUGUCAUCAAGAAUGACAACAAAGGAUAACACCAAUCCCCGACUAUAUAAGGCCUCACAUGGUGACCCCUAAUAUUAAUCGCCUUAUCCCAGACAACAUCACCUGAAACAAGCCUAUUAUACAACAAACUGUCCCUAAAAUGUGUAGCAUCAUCAAUAGCACCUGGUGCCUUGACACACACAUCCCNNNNNNNAUCCCUUCUUGUGACCAGCCACUACCUGCAACAAAAUCGAAGGAAACCCAUAGCUGCAUUUAUAUAAAUUCCCUCCGCUUUGAUCACUGGCAAUUCUAUGGAGCUUAAUUGGGCUCCCAUCUAUAGCACCACACAUGUUAGGCAACGAAGUUAGCUCUUCAAAAGCUUGUGUAGUCUCAAUCAACCUACGCCUACUAACAGGAAUCUUAAUAAACUCAGGGUAAAGCUUAGUAGCCAACAAACGUGUUACCAUAUUAGUGAUCUUGGAAAUCAAGUAAGGCUCAAGAGAGUACCGAGAAGCAAGCGUCGUCGCGGAGUACCCAUGAACAAGCCGGGAAAGGACCAUGGCCACAGCAUAAUCCGAGGGCAAAGAAAGAUUGGAAGCAGUUAU